rnacentral:rRNA from 1 species
AAAAAUACAUGGGUUGGGCGGGACGGGAUCUGCAAUGGUUUCUUCCCCUUUUUCCCGCCUGUGCGGUCCUUUCUUCUUGCUCUUUCCUCUGGUUCUUUGCUGGUCUGGUCCUCCUUGGUUUAGGGAGCUGGGAGGGGGCGCUGGAGCUCAAGAGCUUCUUAGGUAAAGAAGUUCUCGAGCCGACGUCAGGCGUGCGUGCGUCCCCCUGUCGCGCCUCGACGCCUCGGCUCCGCCGGGCGCCAGGGGUAGGGGCGCUAAGCCGGCCCUAGGCCGGCGCGGCGGCGCCGGUACCUGUACUAGCUGUCGUAGCUCACGCACAGCAGCAGCCUGCCGUACCUCCUGCUGCUGCGGUACAGGAGGUUGGACGGGGCGGGGAAGGAGUUCCGGAGCCGCCGCCGGUAGCGCCGCCGGUCGUAGCCCCACCAGGGACCGCCGCCGCCCCCGCGCAGGCCGCGGCCGCGCCGGCCCCCCUAGCGGCCGGGCGACUAGGGCGGCCGGUGCUCGCAGGUGCUCGAGGAGCUCACGGGGCAGACGUGGUUGAGGUACAUGGGGGGCUAGGUGGUCACGGUUUUACCAGUAUGGGAAACAAGAUGGACGUUUCGAGCCCACGUGUUGGCGACGGGAUGGACAGCUGUUCUCGACCCGCUGUAGUCCACAAACCGUAACCUUUUCCACCGACUUAGUGAACUCGAUGGCACGUUUAUGAUGAGUGAUCCAACAGGUCUCUAGAAGGGUAUGAUAUCGUUCGAGUUCGUACUCAGCGUCACGUUAAAAUCCGGUAUGUCGACGGGAAUACGCCCUAGACUUACGAGGCAACAGCCCCUGUAAGGAAAGGAACAAAGUGUAGACUCCCUACUGGUAUUCCAACUGUACGUAAGACCCACGUGUAAGUUGGUAGCAAUACAGUUCAGUUUGGGGUCUCUUCAACUUUUACGUUGAACCUACGAUUGACAAAAGGUAACAAAGCCCGUCAUAAAGACGAACGUAAAACUCCGGAAGGUCGAGCCUUACCGCGGUCAGAUGUACCGUAAGGAGGCGAAGUACCCGCUGCUCUUACUGCGUUCCUUGAUGUCGAUAUCGGAACUCCACCCACGGUUACCGUCCUUCUACUAUACCCUCCCGUGCGGGGCCUCGUAGGCCCUGUCAGUGGCGUUUCACGCACUGUCGGUGCUACCGGAGUAUUAGGUCGCCUUGUACCGUGAGAAGAAGAGGCCGCCCCUCUCCUUUCUCGACUUUGACGCCCACUGACCGGCGUAGACCUUCCUCGUCGUCUUGGGGCUGAGCCCUCGGACGUAGGGAUUAGAGAAGUCGACUUCACUUAUCAACCGUUGUCCUAGUACACUAAGUCGUGCACUUCGGACGACCUUUAGUGUACUACUAGUAAGAGGAGACGGACCAGACACAGAACACUAAGGAUUUACAGACAGUACACUAACAUGAAAUUACUAGAUCACUACAUACUAACAUAAGAGUCAACGAACUUUGUACGUACGUAGUUGACUCCUUGACGAACUAUGUAAACAA